rnacentral:rRNA from 1 species
UCAACUGGAGGAAGGUGGGGAUGACGUCAAGUCAUCAUGGCCCUUACGAGUAGGGCUACACACGUGCUACAAUGGCGCAUACAAAGAGAAGCGACCUCGCGAGAGCAAGCGGACCUCAUAAAGUGCGUCGUAGUCCGGAUUGGAGUCUGCAACUCGACUCCAUGAAGUCGGAAUCGCUAGUAAUCGUAGAUCAGAAUGCUACGGUGAAUACGUUCCCGGGCCUUGUACACACCGCCCGUCACACCAUGGGAGUGGGUUGCAAAAGAAGUAGGUAGCUUAACCUUCGGGAGGGCGCUUACCACUUUGUGAUCAUGACUGGGGGAAGUCGCCUCAGAAGCCGCUG